rnacentral:lncRNA from 1 species
UGUGAAUUGGCCUUAUAUUCCCUGCAUCCAGACCCUGUUUUCCUGCCUCACCACCAGGCCCCUCCUCCAACAGUGGGGAUUAUAAUUCGGCAUGAGAUUUGGGUGAAGACAAAGAGCCAAACAGUAUCAUAUGAUAUUGACAAUCUGUCUCUCUCUCUCUUUUUUUUUUUUUUUUUUGAGACAGGGAAUCACUCUCUGUCACCCAGUCUUGAGUGCAAUGGUAUGAUCACAGCUCACUGCAGCUUCGAGCUGCCGGACUCAAGCAAUCCUCCCAUCUCAGCCUCCUGAGCAGCAAGACUACAGGCAUGCACCACCACACCUGGCUAAAUAUUUAAUUUUUUAUAGAGACAAGACCUUGCUCUGUUGCCCAGGAUGGUCUCAAACUCCUAAGCUUAAGUGAUCCUACUGCCUUGGACUCCGAAGUACUAGGAUUACAGGUAUGUUGUUUUUAUUGAUCUUUUUAAUGAGGUAUUUCUACUCUUGGUAUUUGGAAAUGUAAAGCCUCUUAGUGCUAUAUGAGUUCUGGAAAUUUAUCAGCUCCCUAGCAGUUCUUUGCCUGACCACAGUUUCACCCUAUCAAUCCACAGCUUAGAAUUCAGCAGCAGACUUCAGGUGACCAUUAGGCAAAUUUCUGUAGCUCUUUUUUCUGCAUAGCUACGUCCUCACUGAGUGCUUUCCCACAUAAAUUGAAAAUCCUCACCCUCUGUGUUUUCUGAGUCUGGCUCCUCAGUGGACUCUGUGAAACUAUUACUUCUGCUUGGAUUCCCCUUCCUGUGAAUCAACCUUGAGAGGGCCUCCAGGUGGGAAGCUAAGAUGAUUUUAGGCCUCACCUGAUUUGUUCGCUUUCUCUCAAGAAUCACUGUCCUGUGCUGCCUGUUAACCAAUGUGUGAAAAAAGGCGUUUACGAUAUUUUGCCAGCAGGGGGUCAUGAUCAGGACCGAUUUAUCAAUUAGGAGAAACAGAAUUCCUUUACCUCAAGGCUCGCUCUAUCGCCUAUGGCCACCUUGCCCAGUCUUGCUGCAAGUAUAUUUCCCCUGUUGUCAGAAUCUGGCUACAGUUGUACAUGUUGAAUGGGACUCAGUUAGCAUUCUUCCUAACAGUGAUGCAUUCAAGGAAACAGCCUGGAUUUUGAAAGAGCAAUGGCAGUUGAAGUGAUUAAUUUUACCAGUCUUCCACUCUUGCUUAACAACGAUCUCAGAUACCUAGAAUCACAGAAUCAUAGGAUUGAAUAAACCCUCUAACCACCCAAAGCCUCCCUCAUAUCUCACCAUCCUAAUAUAGCGAUCUUCUGUAUCACAUCACUGUCCAAAAAUAAAUUGUAUUUUUCUUUUUCUCAGAAAUCAGUGAAGUAUCACUUUGGGGUACAUUACAAUAACUAACUCAUUUGCUUGUAGUUGCUGUUUAUUGGCAAUGCACAUUCUUGGGCUGUAUGUCCAAGGUGAAAUGAAUGAUCAUCAUUCAUCAAGGGUCUAACAUGUCUAGUGAAAUAGUCAUUGGCUAUCUAAUAGGAGAACUGUUCCACAGAUGGCUUAAUUACAAUGUAGAGGAGGGCAAUUGAUAAGAAUGAGGUCCUGAAGUAAGCUAGGCAAAGCAGAGGUUUUCAAAGCUGAACCUUAAAAACACCUGAGGAGUUUUAAAAAAUAGUUGCCCAGGUCUUAUUUCAAACAAAUUAAAUCAGAAUCUCUGGGGACGAGCCCCAGAUAUUUGCAUUUUUUAAGACUCUCAGGUUGUUUCAAAGGGCAACCUCAGUCAUGAGCUUACAUGAAUUGGAUGUUAAUGGCUGACCCAGUGUGCUCCCAUUAUGGAGUUCAAGCCAUGUGGAUUCUAACUACAUUCCCCAGCGAAGGAUUGAGCUCUGAAUUCAUGUGCCUAAAGGCCUUAGAGUCUCUUUUUGCACACCCAGCAGCCACAGGAAACCAUUUCAGGUAUGUGUGUGGGUAGUAAGGGCAAAUGUUAAAGAUGACUUUUGUCUGGCAAAACAAUUUUCGUAUUUUGUUACUAGGCCAGGCGUGGUGGCUCAUGCCUGUAAU